AAGAGCCCUUUGAUUUCCCAAAGGACGGGUACACCUUCAGGGUUCAAGCCGACACUCUGUGGUUCUCAAUGGCGUCCGCAUCUGUUAGAGUUCGCAGUCUGACUGUGCUAGUACAGGCCUUGGUGAUCGUCUGCGUGGUGAUCAUGUGCAGCUGCAGCUACACCUGCGAGGGCCGUCGAUCUCUGCUCCCGUUCUUCCGUGAGGAGAAGCCGCCCAUCGCACUUAAACCUGCUCCAUGCUUUAUUCCGCCGUGCCCCAAGAACUGAUGCACAGGUGGGGCAUUCUGUACGAGCAUCUCCGUUCCUACUGCGAAUAAUAUACAAGGGAAUGAUGGUAGCUUAAUACAGCAAGUAAUAACAGAUGCUCAACUCACGGGCUAGUGCUGUCCCAAGCACACGAUUCUCAGCAGUUUGUUGAGGUCAUAAUAAUAAAGGGCCACACAACUCCUACA